rnacentral:rRNA from 1 species
AUUGAACGCUGGCGGCAGGCCUAACACAUGCAAGUCGAACGAGUGGCGGACGGGUGAGUAAUGUCUGGGAAACUGCCCGACGGAGGGGGAUAACUACAGGAAACUGUAGCUAAUACAGCAUACCAUCGGAUGUGCCCCGAUGGGAUUAGCUAGUAGGUGGGGUGAUGGGUGACCUAGGCGACGAUCCCUGGCUGGUCUGAGAGGGUGACCAGCAACAAUGGAGCGGAGACACGGUCCAGACGCCAACGAGAGGCAGCAGUGGGUAAUAUUGCAGGAUGGGCGCAGGCCUGAUGCGGCCAUGCCGCGAGUAUGAAGAAGGCAGUCGGGGUGUAGAGUACUUGCAUCGAGGAGGCGUUACUCGCAGAAGAAGCACCGGCUAACUCCGUGCCAGCCGCCGCGGUAAUAC